rnacentral:misc_RNA from 1 species
GAUGAAGAACGUAGCGAAAUGCGAUACUUGGUGUGAAUUGCAGAAUCCCGUGAACCAUCGAGUCUUUGAACGCAAGUUGCGCCCGAAGCCACUAGGCCGAGGGCACGCCUGCCUGGGCGUCACACGCCGUUGCCCCCCCAUCUACUCCUUCGGGAUUGCGGGGGGGCGGAUGAUGGCCUCCUGUGCGCCUAGCCGCGCGGUUGGCAUAAAUACCAAGUCCUCGGCGACGCACGCCACGACAAUCGGUGGUUGCGAAACCUCGGUUGCCCGUCGUGUGCGUUCGUCGCGCAUCGAGGGCUCGAAAAAAUGCUCGGCUCCGGCUGGGCUUUCAACGCGACCCCAGGUCAGGCGGGGUUACCCGCUGAAUUAAAGCAUAUCAAUAAGCGGAGGA